GCUAAUCUAGCAUUUCUAAUACCCACGCUAGUUGGGAAAGAAAACGGGGGGCUGAUGUCUCGGUAAGAUGGUUUCAAAGAUUCCUUAAGAUUACAAGGGUUGUUUGGUAGUGCAGCAAUAAUGAAUAUGCACCAUGUGGGAAUCAGGAAAGUUUGGUUUUGAUUGGUUUGGUUUAUUAUACAGUAACCAGCUCUCCCUACAUGAAGAGAUCAAAUAGAUCAUAUUGCUUACUGUGAAACAUAUAUAUAGAGAGGGCGAGAAUACAUUAUUUUUUCUUUGCAUAGUAAUUUCAGGGCUUCAGUAAGGUGUUUUCUUUCUUUCUUUCCCUCCCCCUUUUUCUUUGGAGUCCCUCUGACACCACAUAUCUGGGAAUGAAGAACUUCUCAGAGCUGAUUGGAAAUGGCAUUGCUGUGCUGAAACUUAACUGGAGGAAAUACAUCUCCCGAAGAAGAAAAUAUAAUGCACUUUAAGGAUCUGACUUCUGGUGAAAAAUUCAAGCCUAGAGAAAACUUGUCCGCUUUAUUAAGAAGAAUGGGUUGGACAAUCUUCUUCAAUUCCAAAGGAUAUCUGAACGCCAUGCUGAGCUUAAUCUCUGCAGCAUGCUCUGUGCUUCUCUUCUCCUCCUGAUGCACUGCAUGGUUAGCCUGAGGAGAAGGAUAAAGAAACUGGCUACCAAGAUGGUAAUCACUAGUGGAAAUGAAGAAGAUAAAGGCAAUCAAGAAAAGGAGAGCAAAGAAGAAACCAUCCUGGCAAUGCUUGGGAUUAUUGGAACAAUUCUGAACCUCAUUGUGAUCAUUUUUGUGUACAUUUACACAACAUUGUGAGCCAGAAGGCACACGACAAGAACCGACGAAACGGCUGCUAAAGGUGACAACAAACAUUGUAGGGUAUUGACAUGUUGCUUAAUCAGCAUUGAUUCUGUACUAUAUUACCACAUCAUAAAAACACUGCCUGCAGGCAGCAAAAGCUGAAGCACAAUUAAUUUAACAAGACUUUUUCAUGCGGUAACAAGCUCCUUUCCCUUUUUAUUUGGGUUUGGUUUGGGGGGAAAUGACUGCAAUUAUGUAAGUAGCAGCUUUGAAGAACUCAAUCUGGGAUACAAACACAAUAGAGACUGUACACUAUUUAGAAUUACUAAUGUAUACCAUAUACUCUGAAAGAUAGCUAGAUAGCACCGAUUUUGUGUCCAUUAGGUCAAAUAAUUUUUUUUCUCCUUGACUUUUCAAUUUUAUUUACAUUGAAACUGACAGGCUUUUUAUUUAGAAUGAACAUAUGGUGCAAUCAUGGAAAAACAAUUCCGUUGAGCAAGAUCUGCCUAAAAACAAUGAAAUAUUGGGGGAAAUAAGUGACAUGAUUAUUUUUUCUUUCUCAUUUGCUUGACAUUUGUGUCUGUUCAAACCAAUGUUUAUAAAUAUAUAUUUUUAAUAAAUGUGCUAUAUUUUUAGCA
rnacentral:lncRNA from 1 species